UUUAUUUGAAUUCGGCUACCAAUUCCUUACAAAGAAAAAUUAAAGUGAUAAGGACCUUGCACCCUUAAGUUGGGCACUAGUUAAGAGAGACAGAGAAAAAAAAUUGUUUUAGCAAGGGUAAAAGCAUUGACAGGCAUGAGGAAUGCACAUAGCACUUGCACUUUGCCCAAAAAUCCUCACACAAGUAUCUAUGCAGUCAGGUUGUCCACAAGGGCGAGAGGCGUUGGGGUCGGGUAGGUUAAUGCUGCAUUCUGCUGCAUCUGCAAUCAUAGUUACUUG
rnacentral:lncRNA from 1 species